ACAUUAAAGGAAGAAAUAGAAAACCAAACCAAAGUUGCCAAAACGCAACAAUUGUGGAUGUAUGUACUUCAUUCAUAUCUUGUUCUUUCAUUUUCCCCUCCUUGUAGAUGUUGGAUAGCGCGGAUGGAAUGACUGAAAU
rnacentral:ribozyme from 13 species